rnacentral:rRNA from 1 species
AUUGAACGCUGGCGGCAGGCCUAACACAUGCAAGUCGAGCGGAGCGGCGGACGGGUGCGUAAUGCCUAGGAAUCUGCCUGGUAGUGGGGGAUAAGGUCAGGAAACGGAAGCUGAUACCAAAUCCUAUCACAUGCGCCUAGGUCGGAUUAGCUAGUUGGUGGGGGAAAGGCCUACCAAGGCGACGAUCCGUAACUGGUCUGAGAGGAUGAUCAGCCACACUGGAACUGAGACACGGUCCAGACGCCUACGGGAGGCAGCAGUGGGGAAGAUUGGACAAUGGGCGCAAGCCUGAUCCAGCCAUGCCGCGUGUGUGAAGAAGGUCUUCGGAUUGUAAAGUACUUUAAGUUGGGAGGCGUUACCCACAGAAGAAGCACCGGCUAACUCCGUGCCAGCAGCCGCGGUAAUAC